UGUUGUUGACGCCUCCCAGUUUGACACUGA
rnacentral:piRNA from 1 species